GACGAACGCUGGCGGCGUGCUUAACACAUGCAAGUCGAACGGUAAGGCCCUUCGGGGUACACGAGUGGCGAACGGGUGAGUAACACGUGGGUGAUCUGCCCUGCACUUCGGGAUAAGCCUGGGAAACUGGGUCUAAUACCGGAUAGGACCACUGCCUGCAUGGGUGGUGGUGGAAAGCUUUUGCGGUGUGGGAUGGGCCCGCGGCGUAUCAGCUUGUUGGUGGGGUGAUGGCCUACCAAGGCGACGACGGGUAGCCGGCCUGAGAGGGUGACCGGCCACACUAGGACUGAGAUAUGGCCCAGACUCCUACGGGAGGCAGCAGUGGGGAGUAUUGCACAAUGGGCGCAAGCCUGAUGCAGCGACGCCGCAUGAGGGAUGACGGCCUUCGGGUUGUAAACCUCUUUCAGCACCGACGAAGCGCAAGUGACGGUAGGUGCAGAAGAAGGACCGGCCAACUACGUGCCAGCCGCCGCAGUAA
rnacentral:rRNA from 1 species